CGGGGUGAGUAACACGUGGAUAACCUACCUAUAAGACUGGGAUAACUUCGGGAAACCGGAGCUAAUACCGGAUAAUAUAUUGAACCGCAUGGUUCAAUAGUGAAAGACGGUUUUGCUGUCACUUGCAGAUGGAUCCGCGCCGCAUUAGCUAGUUGGUAAGGUAAAGGCUUACCAAGGCAACGAUGCGUAGCCGACCUGAGAGGGUGAUCGGCCACACUGGAACUGAGACACGGUCCAG
rnacentral:rRNA from 1 species